rnacentral:lncRNA from 1 species
UGCUAAGAACUGUUCUAAAAUAUAUCAAUCGAUUGUAUCCUGAUAAUAUCGAGCGAUCGAUCGUCUAUAGAAUCGGUCUCUUUAACGCUGAUGAGCCACCUCAUAAGAUUCACUUUUCAGAGAGGCACAUUUCAGUCAGAAUGCAAUUUCUUUUAUUAUCUUCCAAUUGAGAAGUAUCAAAAACUCAAAGAAAAGCGUUUGAUAGUGUUCAAAGUCCCAAAAUUCAGUUAGAUACGGGCAAAGACAUGAUCAGAAAAGAUAAUUCGUGGAAAGGGACAGAAAGAAGUAGAGGACACCAAGAUUAAGUUGGAGACUUCUAAAUUAAGUAAAUUAGACUAAGAAGAGCUACGAUUACGAACGAAGGAAUUAAGUCAAUGAGAGCUUAGUAUUUAGGAUCUGCGUGCUUAUGACCCAGCUCUAGCCUUCUUGAAUUGAUUAAUUUGUGAAGUAUAAAUAAUAUGCUCUGCGAUCCUUAGGCCUCUCCUUGUCAUGUGAUGUGAUAGAAGAAAAGAUAUUCUAGUAUUUUCCUGAGAUUUGGCGAGUGUGCGGGGCCCUUAUCAUACCAAGCCGUAACGUCUGUAAAAACUGUGCGCGCGCGCAGUGAUGAGCAGACAGAGAUGUACAUACAGUGACAAAAUGAAGUGCACUCAAAACAAACGGAAAAGUUCAACGUUAAAUCUUCAAGUGUGCGUGAUAGCAACUCUGACUCACUCACACGGACGCACAUCAUGUAAGCGCUUACAGUGGAUAAUAACGUCAUCGAGGGAAGAAGCUUUAAACAUCAUAAGUUGGGGAUUUAUGAUACUGAUAAUCAUUUGGGAGUGGUAUAACUUUCAAUUUUUGAUUUAAUACUUCUCCAUCCGAGGUCCCUCAUGAGAGCACCCAUCUGGUGAGAAUACUGUUCAGCAGGCUACUGGUUUGGUUAAAGCAACGACUUGAUGAGGAAGCUAAUAAAGGCGUUCGAUCAUGAAAAAUGCCUUCCAACAGAAAGGUAGGCAAAACAGACUACCGCGAUGUGCGAAUAGUUAUCUAAUCGCAACUAAACUCCCCCAGUUCGAAAAAUGACUGGUGAUCAAAUUCAACUGAAUCGAUUUUAGAAAAGUUCCUCGUACUCUAGGCACAAUAAAAUGAAAAUCAUCAAAAAUUAUAGAAUGGGCUUUGGGCUAGUCGCUUAUCAAAAAGAGGCUUUAUAGGUCGUCUUGUUGGUGAGCGCUGUUCCCCUGAUGAAUCACUGCUGCAGCACUGGCACUCAGGUGGUCUGAACCGUUGUUCGGUUGAAAAAAAAAGGUCAACAUAAAAAGCUCACUGAACGCGUGAAAACAACUUUAUAUGUUACUACCCCUCAUGCACCGCCUGAAAAAGUUCCUAAGAAGCGAGAACUUCGCGAGUUCACAGCUAAUUUGGGACCCAAAUAUCGUGAUACUUUUGUUUACAAAAACAGGACGCAUACAGGACUUAAACAAGUCGAGCCCGACAUUUUUCUGCACCCACUUUCAUUUGAAUUAGGUUUUCCGUCAGUUUGAAGUAGACAUUUCUUAUAAUUUGAAGACUGUUUAACUACAAGCCGCAGUUUAGACGUAACCGCAGCCGAAUAUUUUAUUGAAAUUUUAAAUAGAGUUUUCUAUCAAACACUUAAAAAUUAAUUUCGACCCAACUUCAGGGAAAUCGUUCCUUUUUACCAAAAAUCCCCUUGAUGAACUAAAGUCCUUUUCUCCAUAAACAAUCACGAAUUAAUAAGUCAAACUUGAAGCCUAGCACCUACAAAAAAUGGGAAAAUAAGUUUUUCACGGCAACUUCUUCUUUGAGAGGACAUGGGCGCAUUGUCUGCGUGAAUAUUACGCAACCAAAAAUUAAAUGUUUCCUGAAAUAGAGCCCACCAUCUCAGCUCAUUCCUGUCUAUACGAUACAAAUUCAAGAACUCUACUUUUUUUUUCAUAUGCGAUGUAAACUAAACAGACUUUACAAAAUUAGUCAUGAAUUGCACCACAUACCUACUUUGAGGAACCUGAAUCAAUUUUUUUCCUCUUUAAAAAAAAUAAAAAAAACACCUUUUUAGGUACCUGAUUUCAUGCGAGAACCUGAUGAGUUUCAAAACUAAAUCUGUUCAAAGAUUCAAUGCAAAUUCAGCAAAACUGGAAAAAUUGAUAUUUACUCUUCUCACACGAUCUCAUUUUUUACUCAUCUCACACUCACAUCUUCCACACAACUGAAAACAACACGAAGACAACUCACCAACUAUGAGCAUGGGGGCAUGCUCGGCAAAACUAUCGUAUCCUGACACUCACAGGGCACAACACAUCACUACGUAGCACGCCGAGUUUGAGGUUAGGGAGCACUCGCAGAGAUCACAACGCGCCGCGUCCCCUCGCACUGUUAGACUAAAAACUAAUCAACGACCUCGACCCAGUGGAAAAGAGUUCGAACUUCGAAGUCUUAAGUCCCGGGCUCGAGCGAGUAGCAGCGUCCUGACUCAGUCGGUGCUGUUCCCGAGCGCGACUUCUUAUCACUGCUAUUGUUCUAAUUAAAACCGUGAUAACAAACAGCGCGGGAGACGGCCCACGGGGAAGGGGAGACAGGGGGUACGGUGCACGGGAAUGCAGCAGUUUCUUUGGCCCGCUGCGAGUAGAGCGGGGAGCGGAGAGGGGUGGUUCAAAAACGCGCUAGGAUUUUUUGCGGGGCUGCCAGUGUAACGGGAAAUACUGAUUGAGUACCUUUGCUCACGUAUGGGGCAGUCCGUAAUUUAUCUAGUUACGCAUUCUUAUUUUUAGUAAGGCGUGUUAUCGCCACCCCCCCCAUCUUCCCUCUUGUUUCUAAAAAAUUGAGUCAAUUUAAAAAACUUGACACUUCCAAA